CGAAGAAGCUGCAGGGCCGGCCCGUGUGCCUAUAACUUAACGAGUAAGGCAGCGCAGUGUCAUCCAGCCGUGAAGCCAUUUGGUGGAGAGGAGGAGGAGUGGGCCAGCUGAAGGCUAACCCCAGGAGCCCCCUUAACCCACGGUGGUUGAGAGCCCAGUCAAUCAGACGCAAUGAUGUUAAACUCCUCUCCAAUGAAUACCCUUCACCAGUCAUCAGAGAGAUUGUCUGUGUCUGGCGGCUGAUUAGGAGCUCAUCUCAAGCCGGUGGAGCAGCAGGGGGAAGGCUGGUAGUUAGCUGGAUAACUGCAUAUGAGAUGAGCUGCAGCACUCCCGUCACAAUGCCUGGACGACAUAAUAGGGAUGGAAAUAUGCCGAGAAGAACAGAGUAUCCAGUCACUCACUGUGACUCCCUCUUUCAACCAGAAAAAAACCCACAAGCAUGUGUUGUUUACAAAAACCCUUUUUGACAUAAUCUCUUUUUUUUCCUCAGAAGCCAUAAGCAGUCCCUCGCCCCCCAAAGUGUAUUCAAUCACACACACAGAAAGACAAUAUGCUUG